rnacentral:lncRNA from 1 species
AAGAACUCCAAGCGAAGCGGAGAUCAAAUCGACAUAUUGAGAAUGCGAAACGAUAUCUCGAUUUGAUCUAAAGAGGCUAAUUUGUGGAAAAUAGGUUUAGAAUAAAAUCCGAGCCUCUAGGGUUUCUCAAACAUGUAUUCUUAUGAUGCUUGAUCUGUUAGAGAAGCCCAAUAGCUUAUUUAUAGACUUUAGAAUCAAUCGGAGUCGAAUUAGAAAGUUUUCACGGUUUUACACUGUGUACCGGUACACGAAAGGCUGUCACCGGUUAUACAAGGACGGAACAGAAAUACGAAGCCAAGUCAGUGGCUGUACCGGUACGCGCUUGAUUGCUGUACCGGUACACAAUGCAAUUUUUCGUGUUUUGCAUCGUUUCAGGUUCCGCACUUGUCCAAAGCACUUUCUAAUUAACCAAACUUUGAUUAAAUGAUUCUAAUGCCUAUAAUUAAGCAUGAAUCACCAUAACAUGAAUUAAAACUUUACCUUUACGUCGUGAUUUAUAUCGUGAGUUAUUUUCCAACAUCUUCGAAAUCUUGAAUUCUUCAAUCGUCGACGACACGCACCGAUUCUUCAAGACUCCGACACACUUCACGAAACUUGCCAAUACAAAAUCCUUAACAAGAGAUUUUUGUACCAUGUAUAGAGACCACUUAUGUACUCGUUUAGCACUUGUUUUGGGUCAUCUCUUGACCACUUUACGGUUUUAUUAGUUGUUGUUGGAUCUUUUAUUCGCUUUCUUUGUAAUAGAUUUUAGUUGUACUAUGCUCUGAUACUUCUAGACGUUCUCCUUUUAUUGCUUUAUUUAUCGUUUUAUUAUAGACGCCUUAUAUGUUUUAGACAUAUGGCGGGUCUAGGCACGCGCCGUGCGGGUUUCCGCUGGGUCUUGGGACGUGACAGAUUAAUUUGGUAUCAGAGCCUAGGGUUGAGUCUUAGUGGAUCUGGCAAAUCAUAGGCAGGUUGGACUAUAGGAAAUAGGCUUGUGAGAGAUGAGGUCUAUUGAUUUGUAAGUGAAAGUAUCAUGAUUAGGUAUCUUGAAUAACUCUAGAAAGUGGAGUUAAAUCGAAGUGUAUAGCUUCUAACUUCACAGAGGGUUACGUUUGCGGUCGACAACAUAACAUCGGGAGUUAGUAGUGAAGAACACUUCUUUACUUUC